AGUGGGGAAUCUUCCGCAAUGGACGAAAGUCUGACGGAGCAACGCCGCGUGUAUGAUGAAGGUCUUCGGAUUGUAAAGUACUGUCUUUGGGGAAGAACGGUGGCUUUGAAAAUAUUGAGGCCACAUGACGGUACCCAAGGAGGAAGCCCCGGCUAACUACGUGCCAGCAGCCGCGGUAAUACGUAGGGGGCAAGCGUUGUCCGGAAUUAUUGGGCGUAAAGGGCGCGUAGGCGGAUUGUUAAGUCCGGUGUGAAAGAUCAGGGCUCAACCCUGAGAGUGCAUCGGAAACUGGGAAUCUUGAGGACAGGAGAGGAAAGUGGAAUUCCACGUGUAGCGGUGAAAUGCGUAGAUAUGUGGAGGAACACCGGUGGCGAAGGCGACUUUCUGGACUGUAACUGACGCUGAGGCGCGAAAGCGUGGGGAGCAAACAGGAUUAGAUACCCUGGUAGUCCACGCCGUAAACGAUGAGUGCUAGGUGUAGAGGGUAUCGACCCCUUCUGUGCCGCAGUUAACACAAUAAGCACU
rnacentral:rRNA from 1 species